rnacentral:rRNA from 1 species
AACGAACGCUGGCGGCAGGCCUAACACAUGCAAGUCGAGCGAGAUCUUCGGGUCUAGCGGCGAACGGGUGAGUAACGCGUGGGAAUAUGCCUCUUGGUACGGAAUAGCCUCGGGAAACUGGGAGUAAUACCGUAUGUGCCCUUUGGGGGAAAGAUUUAUCGCCAAGAGAUUAGCCCGCGUUGGAUUAGGUAGUUGGUGGGGUAAUGGCCUACCAAGCCGACGAUCCAUAGCUGGUUUGAGAGGAUGAUCAGCCACACUGGGACUGAGACACGGCCCAGACUCCUACGGGAGGCAGCAGUGGGGAAUCUUAGACAAUGGGGGCAACCCUGAUCUAGCCAUGCCGCGUGAGUGAUGAAGGCCUUAGGGUUGUAAAGCUCUUUCAGCUGGGAAGAUAAUGACGGUACCAGCAGAAGAAGCCCCGGCUAACUCCGUGCCAGCAGCCGCGGUAAUACGGAGGGGGCUAGCGUUGUUCGGAAUUACUGGGCGUAAAGCGCACGUAGGCGGACCAGAAAGUUGGGGGUGAAAUCCCGGGGCUCAACCCCGGAACUGCCUUCAAAACUAUUGGUCUGGAGUUCGAGAGAGGUGAGUGGAAUUCCGAGUGUAGAGGUGAAAUUCGUAGAUAUUCGGAGGAACACCAGUGGCGAAAGCGGCUCACUGGCUCGAUACUGACGCUGAGGUGCGAAAGCGUGGGGAGCAAACAGG